UAGGAUAAUAGUUAAUAAUAACAUUUAAUUUGCAUUUAAAAAGUAUUGAUUUUUCAAUUUAUCUU
rnacentral:tRNA from 1 species